rnacentral:lncRNA from 1 species
AAAUGGAGCUUUGAACAUUUAAAUCAAGACACGCUUAAAUCUGACUCCAGCCAGAGUCAGAAAAUAAGUUUCCUUUGUCUUUCCUUUCCCUCACCCAGGGUUUUCAGUUCAGUUCAGUUCAGUUGCUCAGUCGUGUCCGACUCUUUGCGAUCCCAUGAAUUGCAGCACGCCAGGCCUCCCUAUCCAUCACCAACUGUUUUACACAGAUACAAAUUAAGAGAGACUAUUUUACUGAGUACUUUUGCCUCCAGGUCCCUUCUUCCACCUUCUGUGCAAUCAACAGCAAUCAUCUCAAACAUAUAAAUAGACACAUUUAAAAAUACCCCCACCUCAUUAGGUGUUCCCAAUUCGGUUUUGAGAUGGCGCUCCAGAAAUCCAAGAUCUCCUGAAGACACAAGGAGUGCCAUAAGGAGGCACUUUCAGAGGAAAAAGGACCAGAUUUGGUCUCUGGAAGUAAUGGCAGGAGCCUCAGAAAUUCAAGCCCUUAGCUGAACAAGCCAACACAGGAGGCUGCAGAAUAAUGGCCCAGAGAAAGGGAAGGCUCCUGAAGACAGAACUUGAGGUUGGGGGAAGGAAUUCUCUAGACAAGAGGCCCUGAAGACAAGGACUCCAUGGCGGGGUGCUGACCCCAACGGCAGGGAUGCUGAGGUGAGGGCCUGCCGUGAAUAACACCGGUGAUCACAGAUCUGAUGGGUGGUCUCCUGCUAACUACAUCCCAGCAUUGUACAAAGUGGGUUGGAUGGCAUUAAUGACUACAGUUGUUGACAUUAUAGGGUUUUGAAGAUUUUUAUUCCGCAUUUAAGAGAUUUACAGGAAAUCUCCAGGCAGUUAAGGCAAGGGGCUGGGCUUGUCUCUCAGCUGGCCCAAAGCCAAUCAUUCGGCGGGUAACUUUAAUUCCUGGGAUAUGGAGUCAUACAGUCAGGAAGCAGACCUGACCCCUGUAAGGUCAGUGUCAUGGCCAACUACCCUGGGCUCAAUUUAGAGACAUAACUAUGGCAACGACUGUGCCCAAUCGGUUAUUAGAGGAGAUUUAUUGACGGAUAUGCUUGAAUAGCAGAGCCAUUAAUUGCAAUUACCAGACAAGACACUU